UACGUAGGGGGCAAGCGUUGUCCGGAUUUAUUGGGCGUAAAGAGCGUGUAGGCGGUUUGGUAGGUCCGCUGUGAAAACUCGAGGCUCAACCUCGAGAUGCCGAUGGAAACCAUCUGACUAGAGUCCGGAAGAGGAGAGUGGAAUUCCUGGUGUAGCGGUGAAAUGCGCAGAUAUCAGGAAGAACACCCGUGGCGAAGGCGGCUCUCUGGGACGGUACUGACGCUGAGACGCGAAAGCGUGGGGAGCGAACAGG
rnacentral:rRNA from 1 species